rnacentral:lncRNA from 1 species
CAGGGGGCAUCCUCGCCCUGACUGCUGGAGAUACCCCCACCUCUUAAACACACAGCCUUCUGAGCCGCACACACGCGCAACCCUUCUCCUGCCAGACUCCCAGGCCAGGCACCGUCGCCAUACGGAACAUCCUGCCCUCGACGGACGGAGAGGGGGAGGAGAAACAAGAGCGUGUGCGUAUUAUUGGGGGAAUAGACGCGGAGAGAGCAGGUUAUAGUGAAUCUAUCGGGUCCCGGAGCACAAGAAUUAGGAGUGAGGGGAGGGCCUGGCACAAGUCUCCUGGUUUGGGUGAACGGGAGCAGAAGCAGCGCGCGAUCUCUCCCGACACAGCGUGGAUUAAAACGAGCCGCCACGGAGGACGGACGGACCGACGGCCGCUCGCGCACUGGAGUUUUGGAGAGACUAUACCCCGGACACUGAGCUCAGCGGGCAGCGGCAUUAGCGGCGUUUGUCCUCCCCCCCUGCCCCGCACACCUCCCUGAACCUUGAGAAGGCAGCGGCGGGAGGCUCACCAUGAAGCUGCCUCGGCUACUCGCGUUGACGGCGCUACUCGUUCACGCCGCCACGGCGCAGACUUGGACGACCGGCGAUGACGAGGGUUCAACGAGAGAUGAGUUCUAUGAUGAUGAAGACCUGUACUCGGGCUCCGGCUCUGGAUUUCCUGAGAUCAGCGUGAGGCCGACCUCCGUGAGCGUGUCCUUCACCACAGAAGAGCCCCUAAUCCUGUCCACCACCCAGGCCACGAACCCCGCCCCCUCUGCCUCCCCCGCCGCCGAGCCCAGUCCCAAUCCAGACCCCACGGUCAUCAGCACCACGCUACAGCCCACCACGACGGAGGCCGACGGCGAGAGCGGAGUGUUCUGGGACCUGGAUAAGGAGGAGAAAGAGAAGGAGCGGCAGAAGGAGCUGGAGCGCCAGGCCGAACGGGAACGGGAGAGGGAGCGCGAGCGGGAACGUGUUCGUGAGCUGGAGAGAGAGAAGGAGAGGGAGCGGGAGAGAGAGCUGGAGCGACAGAGAGAGAGGGAGAGAGAGCGCGAGCUGGAGCGCAUCCGGGUCGCCGCACAGACGACCACUGCCCCAUAG